CCCUUAGAUGUUCUGGGACGCACGCGCGCUACACUGACGAUGGCAACGAGUUUUUCCUUCGCCGAAAGGUGUGGGUAAUCUUUUGAAACAUCGUCGUGCUGGGGAUAGAUCAUUGCAAUUUUUGAUCUUGAACGAGGAAUUCCUAGUAAGCGCGAGUCAUCAGCUCGCGUUGAUUACGUCCCUGCCCUUUGUACACACCGCCCGUCGCUACUACCGAUUGAAUGGUUUAGUGAGGACUCCUGAUUGGCGCCGCCGCCCCGGCAACGGAGCAGCGGACUGCCGAAAAGUUGUUCAAACUUGAUCAUUUAGAGGAAGUAAAAGUCGUAACA
rnacentral:rRNA from 1 species